GAUGAACGCUGGCGGCGUGCCUAAUACAUGCGAGUCGAGCGAACAGACGAGGAGCUUGCUCCUCUGACGUUAGCGGCGGACGGGUGAGUAACACGUGGAUAACCUACCUAUAAGACUGGGAUAACUUCGGGAAACCGGAGCUAAUACCGGAUAAUAUAUUGAACCGCAUGGUUCAAUAGUGAAAGACGGUUUUGCUGUCACUUAUAGAUGGAUCCGCGCCGCAUUAGCUAGUUGGUAAGGUAACGGCUUACCAAGGCGACGUUGCGUAGCCGACCUGAGAGGGUGAUCGGCCACACUGGAACUGAGACACGGUCCAGACUCCUACGGGAGGCAGCAGUAGGGAAUCUUCCGCAAUGGGCGAAAGCCUGACGGAGCAACGCCGCGUGAGUGAUGAAGGUCUUCGGAUCGUAAAACUCUGUUAUUAGGGAAGAACAAAUGUGUAAGUAACUAUGCACGUCUUGACGGUACCUAAUCAGAAAGCCACGGCUAACUACGUG
rnacentral:rRNA from 1 species